rnacentral:rRNA from 1 species
AACGAACGCUGGCGGCAUGCCUAACACAUGCAAGUCGAACGAGACCUUCGGGUCUAGUGGCGCACGGGUGCGUAACGCGUGGGAACCUGCCCUUAGGUUCGGAAUAACUCCCCGAAAGGGGUGCUAAUACCGGAUAAUGUCUUCGGACCAAAGAUUUAUCGCCUUUGGAUGGGCCCGCGUUGGAUUAGCUAGUUGGUAGGGUAAAAGCCUACCAAGGCGACGAUCCAUAGCUGGUCUGAGAGGAUGAUCAGCCACACUUGGACUGAGACACGGCCCAGACUCCUACGGGAGGCAGCAGUAGGGAAUAUUGGACAAUGGGCGAAAGCCUGAUCCAGCAAUGCCGCGUGAGUGAUGAAGGCCUUAGGGUUGUAAAGCUCUUUUACCCGGGAUGAUAAUGACAGUACCGGGAGAAUAAGCUCCGGCUAACUCCGUG